rnacentral:rRNA from 1 species
UCGCCGCCGACGACGUCGCGAGAAGUCCACUGAACCUUAUCAUUUAGAGGAAGGAGAAGUCGUAACAAGGUUUCCGUAGGUGAACCUGCGGAAGGAUCAUUGUCGAUGCCUGCAAAGCAGAACGACCCGCGAACUGUUUCUCAACACUCGGGGCACCGUGGGGCGUCUAGCUGCCCGUUGUCCCGACGCUCCGGACGCUGAGGGUGCGAGCCACCCCCAGCGGAUGGAGCAUCAAACACACCCCGGCGUGCAAAGCGCCAAGCUACUCUAACGGUAGGGCAACACCCGUGGGCCUGGACUACAGCGYGCUCGGGUGUCUGUUCGGUAUCAUAAAUCUAAACGACUNNNGUGUGAAUUGCAGAAUCCCGUGAACCAUCGAGUCUUUGAACGCAAGUUGCGCCCGAAGCCUCGGCUGAGGGCACGCCUGCCUGGGUGUCACACAUCACUCUGCCUCCAAAACCCUUUCCCCUGUAACAUNNUGGAGAUGGUUUGGCUGCGGAAGAUGGCCUCCCGUGACCACGUGCCACGGAUGGCCYAAAUUUUUGCUGGGGAAGCGAAGCGCCACGGCAUUCGGUGGACGGCAUAGCCCCCGAGGUAAUGAAGCCGUGGUGGCCGCUAGAGUCCCCAGUCCACGACCCUAAUCACUAACCAAUGCGACCUCAGGUCAGGCGGGGCUACCCGCUGAGUUUAAGCAUAUCAAUAAGCGGAGG